AGCGUAGACGGCGCAGCAAGUCUGAUGUGAAGGGCAGGGGCUUAACUCCUGGACUGCAUUGGAAACUGCCGUGCUUGAGUGCAGUUGAGGCAGGCGGAAUUCGUGGUGUAGCGGUGAAAUGCUUAGAUAUCACGAAGAACUCCGAUUGCGAAGGCAGCCUGCUAAGCUGCAACUAGCAUUGAGCUCGAAAGUGUGGGUAUCAAACA
rnacentral:rRNA from 1 species